ensembl:miRNA
UUAUCUCUAGGGUGUGCUCAUUGCAUGGGCUGUGUAGAUUUUAUUCAUUACUCAGAACAUGCAGUGUGAACUUAAUAGAGAUUGG